ACAUCGCCCUCAUCCAGGAGCCUUGGGUGAUAGGGCAUAGAAUAUGCGGGCUGAAGUCGGCAGAGCACACUUUGAUAAGUGGAGCUACCAUAGUUCAGUGACGAGGACACCACCACCAUCAGUCUGGAGGCGAACGGACGACAAAUAAGGCUUGCCUCGAUGUAUCUGGCACAUGACAGGCCUGUUCCAACCCUACCGGUCGAACAUUUAGUGGAGCGCUGGGACGGGGCCCUGAUUCUAGGAGGUGAUGCGAAUGCACACCAUAGCACAUGGGGAAGCGGAGACAUCAAUGAACGGGGUGAGUCACUCUUUGAAUUCAUACUAAAAUCUAACUUAGUUAUAAGCAAUAGGGGUAGCGAGCCUACCUUCAUAACGAAGAGCAGAAGAGAGGUCCUGGAUGUUACCCUCGUCUCAGAAGAUGCGGAGGUCAUGAUCAGGAACUGGAGGGUGCUUGAUGAGCAUUCCUUCUCUGAUCAUCGCUUCAUCCAAUUCGACUUAGAUGGGGUCCCGUCCAAGGUACCUGCCAAAAGAAAUCUAAGGAAAGCCGACUGGCAUAAGUACAGAAAAGAGCUUGACAAGCGGCUCUCAAGAACCACACUAGCAAUUCCAGGAAACUCUAGGGACCUAGAUAGGCUGGCAAAUCGCUUUACUGCGGCAUGUGGCAAGGCUCUGGAUCAGGCCUGCCCCAUGGUAAAGCCGAGAGGCAAAAAGAAACCACCUUGGUGGAGUACAGAGAUUGACGAGGCCCGCAAAAAUUGUCGUAGAGCCUUCAAUCUCGCAAAAUCCUCGGGAGGCGAUAUGCAAUGGGAAAUCUAUAAGUUAAACUUGAAAGAUUACAAGAAACUACUAAGGAAGAGCAAGAGAUCCUCAUGGAGGAACUUUUGCAGUGGUAUGGAAUCCGUAUCAGAAGGGGGGGAGGCUCCAAGGUCAUAGCGUAUGCUGACGACCUUGCGGUGGUUGUGAGUGGAAAAUUUCCACAAACUCUUUGUGACAUUAUGCAGGACAGACUAAGGUUAAUCGAAAGAUGGACCA